rnacentral:rRNA from 1 species
UACAGAGGUCUCAAGCGUUGUUCGGAUUCAUUGGGCGUAAAGGGUGCGUAGGUGGCGCCGUAAGUCGGGUGUGAAAUUUCGGAGCUUAACUCCGAAACUGCAUUCGGUACUGCGGUGCUUGAGGACUGGAGAGGAGACUGGAAUUCAUGGUGUAGCAGUGAAAUGCGUAGAGAUCAUGAGGAAGACCAGUGGCGAAGGCGGGUCUCUGGACAGUUCCUGACACUGAGGCACGAAGGCCAGGGGAGCGAACGGG